rnacentral:rRNA from 1 species
GACAGAGGGGGCAAGCGUUAUCCGGAAUUAUUGGGCGUAAAGCGUCCGUAGGUGGUUUGGCAAGUCUGGGGUUAAAGCCCGGGGCCUAACUCCGGAUCGGCCCUGGAAACUGCCAGACUAGAGUAAGGUAGGGGUUGGGGGAAUUCCCGGUGUAGCGGUGAAAUGCGUAGAUAUCGGGAAGAACACCAGUGGCGAAAGCGCGCAACUGGGCCAUUACUGACACUGAGGGGCGAAAGCUAGGGGAGCGAAUGGG